rnacentral:rRNA from 1 species
UACCAGCACCCCGAGUGGUCGGGACGAUUAUUGGGCCUAGAGCAUCCGUAGCCGGUUUUACAAGUCCUCCGUUAAAUCCAACUGCUUAACAGAUGGGCCGCGGAGGAUACUAUAAGACUAGGAGGCAGGAGAGGCAAGCGGUACUCAGUGGGUAGGGGUAAAAUCCGUUGAUCCAUUGAAGACCACCAGUGGCGAAGGCGGCUUGCCAGAAUGCGCUCGACGGUGAGGGAUGAAAGCUGGGGGAGCAAACCGG